rnacentral:piRNA from 1 species
UCCCCCUACUGAGAGCCUCAUUAGCGUU